rnacentral:lncRNA from 1 species
CUCAUCAAGCCCUUAGUGAUGUUGAACAGUACCUGUUAGGUACUUAUGCUAUUCAAGAAGACAUAUCUCUCCUGUUUGAAAGGGUAGUUAUGGCCAACAGUAGAAAGACACUUUGCCAGUAUAAUUAUGCCAAUUAUCCAAAAGAUCAAUUUAAUUUACUAUAAAGGUAUUUCUAGCAAGUGUCCUUUUUUUCUUCUUUCUUUCUUUCUUUCUUUCUUUCUUUCUUUCUUUCUUUCUUUCUUUUCUUUCUUUUCUUUCUUUCUUUUCUUUCUUUCUUUCUUUUUCUUUCCUUUCUGUCUUCCUCCCUUCCAUUCCCUGCAUCUUUUUUCUUCAUUUCUUCCUCCUUUCCUUCUAUUUCUUUCUUUCU